rnacentral:tRNA from 1 species
AGUAAAGUCAGCUAAGACAAGCUAUUGGGCCCAUACCCCAAAAACGUUGGCCAAAACCAUCCUUUACUA